rnacentral:tRNA from 1 species
UGGGGUAGAGCUCAGUGGCAGAGCACAUGCUUAGCAUGCACGGAGUCCUGGGUUCAAUCCCCAGUGCCUCCA